rnacentral:lncRNA from 1 species
ACACCCUUCUCUCCUCCACACCCUCCUUCUCCACGCCCUCCUCUCCUCAACAGUCAUCAACACCCUCCUUCACCACACAUCUGUCCUCAUUGUUCACACCCUACUCCAUCCUCUUCCAUCAAACCAACACUUUCUUCGUUUUGGGUAAGUGCAUUUCUCCCCCUUUUGUUCUUUCUAUUUGUGAUGAUGAUGAAGAUAAUCUUGUAUGAAAUAUGAUUGACUUGCCAAAAAAGUGUUUAUUUGACUGCUCCAGGGUUAAAUCUAAUGGAAUAGAAACUAAUUUGAUUUUAUAUAUGUUCUAUUAUUUAUCUUGCACUAUCCUUAAAAGAGUGCAGACAUGAUAUUGAGCUAUGUCUUGCGGUUCACAUGUCUAGUGUAAUUUGUUAAAAGGUUUACAGAAAAUAGCUUAAGAAUAGCGAAG